UUUAGACACAGCAAAACUUCACAAUGGAAGUCCUGUCGAAUUUGAUGGUUACAUGAGAGUUUCAGUUGACACUGAAGUUUUCUUGAGAGGUAAAAAGCAAAUCGAGACAUUUAACGAUCUUACUAAAGACUGCAAGGAUGGUAUCAAUACCUGCACUUCUUCCAGCUGAUCUAUGUACUCACACAAUGGUUUACCACCACCGCGGUUGGGAUAAAUCUUCCGAUAUAUAGGAAAAUUCUUUGAUCAUCAAGAUUUCUGUUAGUUUCUCUUCUGGAAAAGUAUAAAUUUGUUUCAUUAGUUAG
rnacentral:misc_RNA from 1 species